rnacentral:rRNA from 1 species
GACGAACGCUGGCGGCGUGCCUAAUACAUGCAAGUCGAACGCUUCUUUCCUCCCGAGCGCUUGCACCCAAUUGGAAAGAGGAGUGGCGGACGGGUGAGUAACACGUGGGUAACCUACCCAUCAGAGGGGGAUAACACUUGGAAACAGGUGCUAAUACCGCAUAACAGUUUAUGCCGCAUGGCAUAAGAGUGAAAGGCGCUUUCGGGUGUCGCGGAUGGAUGGACCCGCGGUGCAUUAGCUAGUUGGUGAGGUAACGGCUCACCAAGGCCACGAUGCAUAGCCGACCUGAGAGGGUGAUCGGCCACACUGGGACUGAGACACGGCCCAGACUCCUACGGGAGGCAGCAGUAGGGAAUCUUCGGCAAUGGACGAAAGUCUGACCGAGCAACGCCGCGUGAGUGAAGAAGGUUUUCGGAUCGUAAAACUCUGUUGUUAGAGAAGAACAAGGACGUUAGUAACUGAACGUCCCCUGACGGUAGCUAAACAGAAAGCCACGGCUAACUACGUG